GCAGUCGACGAGCAAUACAUUUGAUUUCUUCGGAAUGAAGAUGUAGGCGCGAGUGGCGGACGGGUGAGUAACGCGUGAGUAAUCUGCCUCAUACAGGAGAAUAACACUAAGAAAUUGGUGCUAAUACUCCAUAAGCUCACAUUAUGACAUCAUAGAGUGAGAAAAGAUUUAUCGGUAUGAGAGGAGCUCGCGUCUGAUUAGCUAGUUGGUGGGGUAACGGCCUACCAAGGCGACGAUCAGUAGCCGACCUGAGAGGGUGAUCGGCCACAUUGGAACUGAGACACGGUCCAAACUCCUACGGGAGGCAGCAGUGGGGAAUAUUGCACAAUGGGGGAAACCCUGAUGCAGCAACGCCGCGUGAAGGAAGAAGUAUUUCGGUAUGUAAACUUCUAUCGACAGGGAAGAAACAAAUGACGGUACCUGAAUAAGAAGCACCGGCUAAAUACGUGCCAGCAGCCGCGGUAAUACGUAUGGUGCAAGCGUUAUCCGGAUUUACUGGGUGUAAAGGGUGAGUAGGCGGUCAUGCAAGUCAUAUGUGAAAUGUCAGGGCUUAACCUUGGCGCUGCAUAAGAAACUGUAUGACUAGAGUGCAGGAGAGGUAAGCGGAAUUCCUAGUGUAGCGGUGAAAUGCGUAGAUAUUAGGAAGAACACCGGUGGCGAAGGCGGCUUACUGGACUGUUACUGACGCUGAGUCACGAAAGCGUGGGGAGCAAACAGGAUUAGAUACCCUGGUAGUCCACGCCGUAAACGAUGAGUGCUAGGUGUUGGCCAGAGAUGGUCGGUGCCGCAGCAAACGCAAUAAGCACU
rnacentral:rRNA from 1 species